rnacentral:rRNA from 1 species
AUUGAACGCUGGCGGCAGGCCUAACACAUGCAAGUCGAACGAGUGGCGGACGGGUGAGUAAUGUCUGGGAAACUGACUGAUGGAGGGGGAUAAAUACUGGAAACGGUAGCUUACACCACAUUCCAUCAGAUGUGCCCAGAUGGGCUUAGCUUGUUGGUGGGGUAACGGCUAACAAAGGCGACGCACCCUAGCUGGCCUGAGAGGAUGAGCGGCCACACUGGAACUGAGACACGGACCAUACUCCUACGGGAGGCAGCAGUGGGGAAUAUUGGACAAUGGGCGCAAGCCUGACGCAGCCAUGCCGCGUGUAUGAAGAAGGCUUUCGGGUUGUAAAGUACUGUCAGCGGGGAGGCGUUACCCAACGAGAAAGCACCGGCUAACUCCGUGCCAGCAGCCGCGGUAAUUC